GAAAAAGCUAAAGCCGAUGGCUAGAGAAUUAAGAGGUCAAGUGAUGUGGAUAAACGCAUGGACAUUUGCUACAGUCCUGCUACGAAUUUAUGUCAAAGGUAUCGCUCAUCUGAUGACUGCAAUUCCAGCUCUACUUGCGCUUAUUGCCAUGUUCACUGAUCCAAUCCGUUCGAGAAGUUUCUACAAGUUUUUCAAUUGGCAGCUUACACAUUGAUUAGAAGACAUGAUCCUUGAGUUCCCUUGCAAUUAUGUUGUUGACUAAGCAUAUAUAGACCGCUUGAAAUGGUGAAAAGAUUUGGGUGUUAUUUUGCUAGUACUAGUAGAAAUAAAGUA